UACAGAGGGUGCGAGCGUUAAUCGGAAUUACUGGGCGUAAAGGGUGCGUAGGUGGUUUGAUAAGUUAGGUGUGAAAGUCCUGGGCUUAACCUGGGGAUUGCGCUUAAGACUGUCGAGCUAGAGUACUGUAGAGGAAGGUGGAAUUUCCGGUGUAGCAGUGAAAUGCGUAGAUAUCGGGAGGAACACCUGUGGCGAAAGCGGCUCACUGGACCACAACUGACGCUGA
rnacentral:rRNA from 1 species